AUAUACUUACGUCCUUGACUUUUAUUUAAAAUUUCUGUAAUUUCCUUGGGCUUCAAGCUCAGCAUAGUAAGAAUAAUACAGAGUCAAAACUCAAGUUGGGCUUCGGACUGACUUCAUUCAGGGCUAACCUUGACAUUCAGGCCAUUAACUUGCAAAUGACGGAGUUAUUUCACAUUUAUUCAAAUUAAAACUUGACACAAUCAUAUGUUUAUCUGAAUAAAAUUCAAAACAGUCUAAACUGUCUGGAUUGGAUUUAUAUUCUAAAAUUUAGAUUUUCUUAUCUAUUUACCUACUAGUGAACUUCGGGAUAUUACUAAGGGUAAAACAAACUAGGAAACAUGAAUUGAAUUUUAACAAAAAUAGUCAUGGAUAUAAACCUCAGUUGAGCAGGCUAAGCAACUUGAUUACGAGAUUUUACUUACACUAACAGGAACAAGUUAAUAGCCUAACUUCACACUUUAUUCACAUCUAAUUAUCAUACAUCUAAACUAAACUACUUAAUGAAAUGCAUAUGUUGAUAUGAGUAACUAAUCUACUGAUAUUAGCUACUGCAAUAAAAAGUUGUUUGAGACGUCUCUUCAACUUGAAAUUAAAAUUAAUGUGGACAUUGCGCUGAUCUCAAAAUCGAUUGCAACACCCAAACUAUUUCUGAUUUUUUUUAUUUUUAAAACAAAACCGUUAAACUAAAGCAAGUUCUAAUCUAUACUAAGGCUACAACUGGAUAAUAAAAAAUUAACAGUCCAAUUAGGUACAAAUUUUCCAAUUCGAGUUUCAUGUGAAUAUAAAUCCAAUUAGACUACACUACACAGUUACAUAUCAUUAAUAUCCACUUAACAACAGAUGUUUAGUCGUCCAAACAUGCAUCAUCGAGUAAACAGAUGUAUGAGUACUCUCAUUUCAUGUUCAUCUCAAAGCUACAUCAGUUUGAGUUCAAGUAUUUAUCUGGAAGUGUAAAUAACAAGAGAGAAGAGAGAGGUCAGCAGUAGCUUAGCAGAUGAUUAAAAUAACCCAGAACAGAAUCAACAAUCCAUAAUUGUUUUACAUCAAGCAGGACUGAGACAUCAACAUAAAACAACACCAAAAUAACCCAAAUAAACCCAAAACACUUCUGAAACUUUCAGCAGACAAAAACUCAACCAAAACCAGCUUGAUUAGACCCAAAAUCGCUCGAAAUCAACCUAGUAAACCUCUAAUACUUCAGCAACCAAACAUUGAGCUAGAAGAUGUGAAUCAAUGGCUAGAAUAACCUAAAGUUUUUCAAUGAAACAAUGUAUUUUUUUGGAUUUUCGAAGAUCUUUUGUUGUUUUUGGUUUUUGAAGAAUUAGAUCUAGAGUUUUGACUUGAAAUUCAAAUCUUCAGUUUGUGAAGACUUGUGGGCAAUUGGGGGGAAUUUUCAAAGCUCAAUAACUUGUGAGUGAAGGCAAAGGCAUGUCUAUUUAUAAGCAUAAGGGAAGGCAACCCUCAGAUUUUCUAAUUUUCUUUUAGUCCCUAUUUAAUUUUCAGAUUAGCCCUCUAUUUUUUGACUUGUUUCUCGAGUUAACAUCCUAACUUUCUGUAAUUUUCAGUUUGAACCCCAUCUAGAAGAUUCUAGGUAGUUCUAAAUUCAGUUAUUAUUACAUUCCCUUCCUUGCAUUACCCCAAUUAACCUUUUAAAACUUGAAAAUUACUAAACUGAAUCAUCCCCCUUCUAUCACGGUCUACUAACCCCAACUUUCUAAACUAACCAUGGUUAAACCAAUCAGUUAAAAAAUUUUAAACCAAAUCUAACUAACUAUUGAUUUUCAGAUUAACAAUUGUUAUUGUCUGUUAACAAUCAAAUAAAAUUAAUUAAUAACAAUGAAAUCAAUAUGAAACUAGAAUCUUACCAUUGGCAAAUACAGGUAAAUCCAUGCAGUCAGAAGUAUUUAAUCCAACUAAAACUAAUCAAAAUCAUAGACCUCAAACACUAAUUAUAGGUUACUUAAUUGAAACCAAACACAACUUCGACAGAAAUCAGACAAAAUAGAAUCAAACAGGAUAAAUUCAACAACAUUAAAUAGAACCCUAAAAGUUUAUCUCAUUUAGCCAUGAAAGCAAUCAACCGAAAGGCAGCAAAAUAAAUAUUCGAGCGCAAACUACGAACAAUCAAAACUCAAUAAAGUGACGAACUAUUUAGCUAAAUUUUGUUAAUGAAAAAUGGCAGAGAAAAUAAUAGGAAAAAAGAAAACAGAUGAGACAGAACAACGAGUACUAAGAUAGGAGGAGAAUAAAGAAGGGAGAAACAGAACAAACAAAAUGAAAUGAACAAAGAACUCACUGAGUCGACUUGGGCUGAGGGAUGACCUUCCAAUUUAAACUUCGCUAUAACAUCAAUCACUCGUUCUUUGUUCUAGAGCGGGUAAAAACCACGGGAAAUGGAGAGGGGCUUUGCAUGCUGAAUCUCCCAUAUGAACUUCAAUUGAAUUAUCAUAUUCGAAAUUUUAGGAGCUUGGUCGAUAUUUGAAGGGGGAGGAGGACAAAUAUAAGACGAGAGAGGUAUGGUGGUUAAAAUGUAUCGAUUUGGGGGUGAAUUGAGGUGGCGUUGCCACCGAGAACCAAGGCGCCGCUAGGUUUUUUAAAGAUUUGAGCCGUUUCGAUGGGGUUUGAGGAAAAGCAAUUAGGGAUUUGGGAUGGGGUGGUGGAGAGGACUUGAUGGUGUUCUUUUGGGAAUGAUUGGCGGUGGCGCCGCCGAUGGAGAGUGAUGGAAUUAGGGGCGGCUAGCUAAGGUUUCUCCGAGGGAGAUGAGCGAGGGAGAUGAUGGGGUUAUUUUGGAACUGAUUUAUCUCCAAAGAUUUUCGGACAUAUGAAUUGUAAAGAGGGGAAACUUUG
rnacentral:lncRNA from 1 species